UACAGAGGUGGCAAGCGUUGUUCGGAAUUACUGGGCGUAAAGGGCGCGUAGGCGGUCUUGUCAGUCCCUUGUGAAAUCCCCCGGCUCAACUGGGGAACUGCACGGGAAACAGCAGGGCUUGAGUUCGGGAGAGGGAAGCGGAAUUCCGGGUGUAGCGGUGAAAUGCGUAGAUAUCCGGAAGAACACCAGUGGCGAAGGCGACUCGCUGGACAGACAUUGACGCUGAGGUGCGAAAGCGUGGGGAGCAAACAGG
rnacentral:rRNA from 1 species